rnacentral:rRNA from 1 species
UACGUAGGCAGCAAGCGUUGUUCGGAGUUACUGGGCGUAAAGAGUGUGUAGGCGGUCGUCCAAGUUUGGUGUGAAAUCUCCCGGCUUAACUGGGAGGGUGCGCCGAAAACUGGAUAACUGGAGUAUGGGAGAGGAAAGCGGAAUUCCUGGUGUAGCGGUGAAAUGCGUAGAUAUCGAGAGGAACACCUGCGGCGAAGGCGGGUUGCUGGGCUGACACUGACGCUGAGGCGCGAAAGCUAGGGGAGCGAACGGG